rnacentral:rRNA from 1 species
GACGAACGCUGGCGGCGUGCUUAACACAUGCAAGUCGAACGGAAAGGCCCUGCUUUUGUGGGGUGCUCGAGUGGCGAACGGGUGAGUAACACGUGAGUAACCUGCCCUUGACUUUGGGAUAACUUCAGGAAACUGGGGCUAAUACCGGAUAGGAGCUCCUGCUGCAUGGUGGGGGUUGGAAAGUUUCGGCGGUUGGGGAUGGACUCGCGGCUUAUCAGCUUGUUGGUGGGGUAGUGGCUUACCAAGGCUUUGACGGGUAGCCGGCCUGAGAGGGUGACCGGCAACAUGGGGACUAGGAGCCGGCCCAGACUCCGAGGGGAGGCAACAGUGGGGAAUAUUGCAAAAGGGGGGGAAGCCUGAUGCAGCAACGCCGCGUGCGGGAGGACGGCCUGCGGGUUGUAAACCGCUUUCGCCUGUGACGAAGGGUGAGUAACGGUAAGGGGUAAAGAAGCACCGGCUAACUACGUG